AUUGAACGCUGGCGGCAGGCUUAACACAUGCAAGUCGAACGAUGACUCUCUAGCUUGCUAGAGAAGAUUAGUGGCGGACGGGUGAGUAACAUUUAGGAAUCUGCCUAGUAGUGGGGGAUAGCUCGGGGAAACUCGAAUUAAUACCGCAUACGACCUACGGGUGAAAGGGGGCGCAAGCUCUUGCUAUUAAAUGAGCCUAAAUCAGAUUAGCUAGUUGGUGGGGUAAAGGCCCACCAAGGCGACGAUCUGUAACUGGUCUGAGAGGAUGAUCAGUCACACCGGAACUGAGACACGGUCCGGACUCCUACGGGAGGCAGCAGUGGGGAAUAUUGGACAAUGGGGGCAACCCUGAUCCAGCCAUGCCGCGUGUGUGAAGAAGGCCUUUUGGUUGUAAAGCACUUUAAGCAGGGAGGAGAGGCUAAUGGUUAAUACCCAUUAGAUUAGACGUUACCUGCAGAAUAAGCACCGGCUAACUCUGUGCCAGCCGCCGCGGUAACAC
rnacentral:rRNA from 1 species